AGCGAACGCUGGCGGCAGGCCUAACACAUGCAAGUCGAACGAACCCUUCGGGGUUAGUGGCGGACGGGUGAGUAACACGUGGGAACGUGCCUUUAGGUUCGGAAUAACUCAGGGAAACUUGUGCUAAUACCGAAUGUGCCCUUCGGGAGAAAGAUUUAUCGCCUUUAGAGCGGCCCGCGUCUGAUUAGCUAGUUGGUGAGGUAAUGGCUCACCAAGGCUACGAUCAGUAGCUGGUCUGAGAGGAUGACCAGCCACAUUGGGACUGAGACACGGCCCAAACUCCUACGGGAGGAAGCAGUGGGGAAUCUUGCGCAAUGGGCGAAAGCCUGACGCAGCCAUGCCGCGUGGAUGAUGAAGGUCUUAGGAUUGUAAAAUCCUUUCACCGGUGAAGAUAAUGACUGUAGCCGGAGAAGAAGCCCCGGCUAACUUCGUGCCAGCCGCCGCGGUAACAC
rnacentral:rRNA from 1 species